UACGUAGGUGGCAAGCGUUGUCCGGAUUUAUUGGGUUUAAAGGGUGCGUAGGCGGCUUUGUAAGUCAGUGGUGAAAUAUGGCAGCUUAACUGUCAGGGUGCCAUUGAUACUGCGGAGCUUGAGUACAGAUGAGGUAGGCGGAAUUGACGGUGUAGCGGUAAAAUGCACAGAUAUAUGGAAGAACACCAAUAAAGGCGAAGGCAAUUAACUAUUCUGUUACUGACAUUGAGGCACGAAAGCGUGGGGAGCAAAACGG
rnacentral:rRNA from 1 species